UACGGAGGGUGCGAGCGUUGUUCGGAAUUACUGGGCGUAAAGCGCGCGUAGGCGGACCCGCAAGUCGGGGGUGAAAGCCCGAGGCUCAACCUCGGAACUGCCUUCGAUACUGCGGGUCUCGAGUCCGGGAGAGGUGAGUGGAAUUCCUAGUGUAGAGGUGAAAUUCGUAGAUAUUAGGAAGAACACCAGUGGCGAAGGCGGCUCACUGGCCCGGUACUGACGCUGAGGCGCGAAAGCGUGGGGAGCAAACAGG
rnacentral:rRNA from 1 species